rnacentral:lncRNA from 1 species
UGACCCAUAUUAGGUGCUCAAUAAAUAUUUGUUUCUUGAAUGUCUCCUCUUUCCACUCUGGCAAACUUAAAUUUCUUCCAUUCUGGAUUACCCUGCAUUUCUUUCUGGUACCCACUUUUCACAUCUGUCCAGUUAAUGUCUUCUGUUUCCAAAAUGAUUCUCCCGAGAGCUGGUUCUUGUCCAGAUCCCAUUUAGAACUAGCCAGGUGCUUUCAGUGGCCACCAUCCUAAGGCAAAUUAGCACCAGGUAGAAGGUAGCAGCAGGUAGAAAUCACUUGUGAUGGGGAUUGGAUUUUUCAUCUUAGGACAGUUUUUUAAAGAGGGGAAUCUAUGCUUUUACAGUCAUUUUUAGGCAUUUCCAUGCUCCAUCUCUCAGCUUCAGGAGAGGUGUUAACAGUAUUAUUUCCAUUUGCUGCCUCCCUCUCAGCUGUCCCGAGUUGUGCUCUCCCUUUGGAGGAAUCUGCCCCACUCUGGGAGGUGUGAAUCCUUCCUCUUUCUGCUUUACCUCUCUCAAAAAGGAGAAGGCCAGCCUUGGUCCCUAAGCUUCCAGAAUUGCCCUCCCCAACCCCCACCUUUUCACCCCACUCCAAAGAGUAACAUGCCUGAUAUGUGGAAAGGUAUGUACUAUCACCUAAAUGUGAGUCACUCCAGAGGAGGGGCAACAAAACCCUUUUUAAAAAAUGUUCUCAUUUCUUUUGCUAUUGCUUUUUCCUUCCUACUGUUGAUUUUGUCCUAUCCUACCCUUCAGAUUUCUAAUUUGUGUUGAACUUGCUGCUUUUUUCAUAUUGAAAAGAUGACAUUGCCCCAAGAGCCAAAAAUAAAUGGGAAUUGGAAAAUAAAAUAAAAUAAAAUACUCAAAGAAC